GAUGAACGCUGGCGGUAUGCUUAACACAUGCAAGUCGAACGGACUCUUCGGAGUUAGUGGCGGACGGGUGAGUAACGCGUGAGAAUCUGGCCUUGGGUUCGGGACAACCACUGGAAACGGUGGCUAAUACCGGAUGUGCCGAGCGGUCAAAGAGAAUUUGCCUGAAGAUGAGCUCGCGUCUGAUUAGCUAGUUGGUGAGGUAAAGGCUCACCAAGGCAGCGAUCAGUAGCUGGUCUGAGAGGAUGACCAGCCACACUGGGACUGAGACACGGCCCAGACGCCUACGAGAGGAAGCAGUAGGGAAUUAUCCGCAAUGGGCGAAAGCCUGACGGAGCAAUACCGCGUGAGGAAAGAAGGCUCUUGGGUUGUAAACCUCUUUUCUUAGGGAAGAACAAAAUGACGGUACCUAAGGAAUCAGCAUCGGCUAACUCCGUG
rnacentral:rRNA from 1 species